rnacentral:rRNA from 1 species
AGGGAUGGAGGCCUUCGGGUUGUGAACCUCUUUCGCCAGUGAAGCAGGCCUGCUCCUUUUUGUGGGUGGGUUGACGGUAGCUGGAUAAGAAGCGCCGGCUAACUACGUGCCAGCAGCCGCGGUAAUACGUAGGGCGCGAGCGUUGUCCGGAAUUAUUGGGCGUAAAGAGCUCGUAGGCGGCUGGUCGCGUCUGUCGUGAAAUCCUCUGGCUUAACUGGGGGCUUGCGGUGGGUACGGGCCGGCUUGAGUGCGGUAGGGGAGGCUGGAACUCCUGGUGUAGCGGUGGAAUGCGCAGAUAUCAGGAAGAACACCGGUGGCGAAGGCGGGUCUCUGGGCCGUUACUGACGCUGAGGAGCGAAAGCGUGGGGAGCGAACAGGAUUAGAUACCCUGGUAGUCCACGCCGUAAACGUUGGGCACUAGGUGUGGGGGGCCUUUUCCGGGUUUUCCGCGCCGUAGCUAACGCAUUAAGUGCCCCGCCUGG